rnacentral:lncRNA from 1 species
UGAGGGAGAACUCCUGAAAUGGAAGCUGAUUUGGAGAAUAUGUCUGACAAAAGCAAUGGUGCUGCAGCUUGGGAGUGCAGGCAAGCCCAGGAGAAGAUAUUUUCCUGAAGUGAGGAGUGAAGCCUUCAAUUCCAGUGCCAGAGGAGUGAGUUGUGAGAUCCAAAGUGCAGAUUUGCUGUUGCUCCUCUCCAACACAGAGGGUGGAAAAUGUGACCAAAGAUGCAGAACAUGAGGAAGCAGAGGACAAGGUGAGUGUCUGCAGAGCAGAAGGGAUGGCAGCAGAGGACAAGGUGAGUGUCUGCAGAGCAGAAGGGAUGGCAGCAGCCUUUCUGUUCCAGGGCUGAGCACAAGGGUGUGAGGGUGAGUCAGCUCCAACACUUCUGGGUCUGGGCUGGGGCAAACUACACCCACUCUGUGUGCUGGGCACUCUUAUUAUCGAGUCAGAGAAAGCCAGGAGGAACGUGCUGUGUUGAUGGAGAAACACUCCACAGUGUUUGAAAAAUCUAAGAGGAACAAGCUACUCAGAAACACUGGUAUGUUCAGUCGAAUUGAUGCUGCAAGCAGGAUGAAAGGGUCAAAAUGGAGACAGAAAUUUUCUGAGAGGUAAUACCAGGUGUGGGAAUGAGCUCUAGGGUUUGUGCCUCCCUGCCACUGUCCUCUCUGCCAGUUCACUUAUCCCCUUCUCUCUUUUUGCUCCUGAAAUUUUGUGACCUCCUGUGCAUCCUCACGUGGUCUCACCAAGUCUUAUCCCCUCAUGUGCACAGUGAGCUCCUGCACCUCUUCUGACAAUGAGGGCAGUCUGAAUUGUUCAGUUU